rnacentral:rRNA from 1 species
UAACAAGGAUUCCCCUAGUAACUGCGAGUGAAGCGGGAAGAGCUCAAAUUUAAAAUCUGGCGGUUUCACCGUCCGAGUUGUAAUCUGGAGAAGCAUUUUCCGCGUUGGACCGUGUACAAGUCUCUUGGAAUAGAGCGUCAUAGAGGGUGAGAAUCCCGUCCAUGACACGGACUACCAGUGCUUUGUGAUAUGCUCUCAAAGAGUCGAGUUGUUUGGGAAUGCAGCUCAAAAUGGGUGGUAAAUUCCAUCUAAAGCUAAAUAUUGGCGAGAGACCGAUAGCGAACAAGUACCGUGAGGGAAAGAUGAAAAGCACUUUGGAAAGAGAGUUAAACAGUACGUGAAAUUGUUGAAAGGGAAACGCUUGAAGUCAGUCGCGUUGUCCGGGACUCAGCCUUGCUAUUUGCUUGGUGUAUUUCCUGGUUGACGGGUCAACAUCAAUUUUGGCUGGUGGAUAAAGGCUGAGAGAAGGUGGCAUCUUCGGAUGUGUUAUAGCUCUUGGUUGCAUACGCUGGCUGGGAUUGAGGUCUGCAGCACGCCUUUUUGGCCGGGGUUCGCCCACGUAACGUGCUUAGGAUGUUGGCAUAAUGGCUUUAAGCGACCCGUCUUGAAACACGGACCAAGGAGUCUAACAUGCCUGCGAGUAUUAGAGUGGAAAACUCUUGUGCGAAAUGAAAGUGAAAGUUGGGACUCUUUGCGGAGGCACCAACGCCCGGCCCUGAAGUUUACUGACGGUGCUGCGGUAGAGCAUGUAUGUUGGGACCCGAAAGAUGGUGAACUAUGCCUGAAUAGGGUGAAGCCAGGGGAAACUCUGGUGGAGGCUCGUAGCGAUUCUGACGUGCAAAUCGAUCGUCAAAUUUGGG